AUUGAACGCUGGCGGCAGGCCUAAAAAAUGCAAGUCGAGCGAGAGGCGGACGGGUGAGUAAUGUCGGGGAAACUGCCUGAUGGAGGGGGAUAACUACUGGAAACGGUAGCUAAUACCGCAUAACAUCAGAUGUGCCCAGAUGGGAUUAGAUAGUAGGUGGGGUAAUGGCUCACGUAGGCGACGAUCCCUAGCUGGUCUUAGAGGAUGACCAGCCACACUGGAACGUAGACACUGUCCAGACUCCUACGGGAGGCAGCAGUGGGGAAUAUUGCACAAUGGGCGCAAGCCUGAUGCAGCCAUGCCGCGUGUAUGAAGAAGGCCUUCGGGUUGUAAAGUACUUUCAGCGGGGAGGCGUUACCCGCAGAAGAAGCACCGGCUAACUCCGUGCCAGCAGCCGCGGUAAUUC
rnacentral:rRNA from 1 species